AGUCAAGUAAUUAAGUGCAUGUGGUGGAUGCCUUGGCAGUCAGAGGCGAUGAAAGACGUGAUAGCCUGCGAAAAGCUCCGGGGAGGCGGCAAAUAUCCUUUGAUCCGGAGAUGUCUGAAUGGGGGAACCCACCUACUUUAAGGUAGGUAUUGCAACAUGAAUACAUAGAGUUGCAAGGCGAACGAGGGGAAGUGAAACAUCUCAGUACCCUUAGGAAAAGAAAUCAAUUGAGAUUCCCUCAGUAGCGGCGAGCGAACGGGGAUCAGCCCAUUAAGUUAUGUGUGUUUUAGUGGAACGCUCUGGGAAGUGCGAACGUAGAGGGUGAUAUUCCCGUACACGAAAGGGCACACAUAAUGAUGACGAGUAGGGCGAGGCACGUGAAACCUUGUCUGAAUAUGGGGGGACCAUCCUCCAAGGCUAAAUACUCCUGACUGACCGAUAGUGAACCAGUACCGUGAGGGAAAGGCGAAAAGAACCCUGUGAGGGGAGUGAAAUAGAUCCUGAAACCGCAUGCAUACAAGCAGUGGGAGCACCUUCGUGGUGUGACUGCGUACCUUUUGUAUAAUGGGUCAGCGACUUAUAUUCAGUAGCGAGGUUAACCGUAUAGGGGAGCCGUAGAGAAAUCGAGUCUUAAUAGGGCGUUUAGUUGCUGGGUAUAGACCCGAAACCAGGCGAUCUAUCCAUGAGCAGGUUGAAGGUUGGGUAACACUAACUGGAGGACCGAACCCACUGUCGUUGAAAAGCCAGGGGAUGACUUGUGGAUAGGGGUGAAAGGCUAAUCAAGCCUGGUGAUAGCUGGUUCUCCCCGAAAGCUAUUUAGGUAGCGCCUCGGACGAAUACCAUAGGGGGUAGAGCACUGUUUCGGCUAGGGGGUCAUCCCGACUUACCAAACCGAUGCAAACUCCGAAUACCUAUGAGUACUAUCCGGGAGACAGACUGCGGGUGCUAACGUCCGUAGUCAAGAGGAAAACAAUCCAGACCGCCAGCUAAGGCCCCAAAAUCAUAGUUAAGUGGGAAACGAUGUGGGAAGGCAUAGACAGCUAGGAGGUUGGCUUAGAAGCAGCCACCCUUUAAAGAAAGCGUAAUAGCUCACUAGUCGAGUCGGCCUGCGCGGAAGAUGUAACGGGGCUAAAACUAUGUGCCGAAGCUGCGGAUGUAUACUUUGUAUACGUGGUAGGGGAGCGUUCUGUAAGCCGAUGAAGGUGUGUUGAGAAGCAUGCUGGAGGUAUCAGAAGUGCGAAUGCUGACGUGAGUAACGACAAAACGGGUGAAAAACCCGUUCGCCGAAAGACCAAGGGUUCCAGUCCAACGUUAAUCGGGGCUGGGUGAGUCGACCCCUAAGGCGAGGCCGAAAGGCGUAGUCGAUGGGAAAAUGGUUAAUAUUCCAUUACUUCUGUGUAAUGCGAUGAGAGGACGGAGAAGGCUAAAUCAGCCUGGCGUUGGUUGUCCAGGUGAAAGGAAGUAGGCAUGUAUCUUAGGCAAAUCCGGGGUACUCUAUGCUGAGAUCUGAUAGCAAGCUGUACUUGUACAGCGAAGUGGUUGAUGCCAUGCUUCCAGGAAAAGUCUCUAAGCUUCAGUUACACAGGAAUCGUACCCGAAACCGACACAGGUGGUCAGGUCGAGUAGACCAAGGCGCUUGAGAGAACUCUGCUGAAGGAACUAGGCAAAAUGGUACCGUAACUUCGGGAGAAGGUACGCUGUUGUUGGUGAUGGAACUCGCUUCCUGAGCUGACGACAGCCGCAGAAACCAGGCCGCUGCAACUGUUUAUUAAAAACAUAGCGCUCUGCAAACACGAAAGUGGACGUAUAGGGUGUGAUGCCUGCCCGGUGCUGGAAGGUUAAUUGAUGGGGUUAGCGUAAGCGAAGCUCUUGAUCGAAGCCCCAGUAAACGGCGGCCGUAACUAUAACGGUCCUAAGGUAGCGAAAUUCCUUGUCGGGUAAGUUCCGACCUGCACGAAUGGCAUAAUGAUGGCGGCGCUGUCUCCAGCAGAGGCUCAGUGAAAUCGAAAUCGCUGUGAAGAUGCAGUGUACCCGCGGCUAGACGGAAGACCCCGUGAACCUUUACUGCAGCUUGACACUGAACUUUGACCUUACUUGUGUAGGAUAGGUGGGAGGCUUUGAAGCUGGAACGCUAGUUCCAGUGGAGCCGUCCUUGAAAUACCACCCUGGUAAUGUUGAGGUUCUAACUCUGUCCCGUGAUCCGGGACGAGGACCGUGUCUGGUGGGUAGUUUGACUGGGGCGGUCUCCUCCUAAAGAGUAACGGAGGAGUACGAAGGUGCGCUCAGCGUGGUCGGAAAUCACGCGUAGAGUAUAAAGGCAAAAGCGCGCUUAACUGCGAGACCCACAAGUCGAGCAGGUACGAAAGUAGGUCUUAGUGAUCCGGUGGUUCUGUAUGGAAGGGCCAUCGCUCAACGGAUAAAAGGUACUCUGGGGAUAACAGGCUGAUACCGCCCAAGAGUUCAUAUCGACGGCGGUGUUUGGCACCUCGAUGUCGGCUCAUCUCAUCCUGGGGCUGAAGCAGGUCCCAAGGGGUAUGGCUGUUCGCCAUUUAAAGAGGUACGCGAGCUGGGUUUAGAACGUCGUGAGACAGUUCGGUCCCUAUCUACCGUGGGCGCUGGAAAUUUGAGAGGAUCUGCUCCUAGUACGAGAGGACCAGAGUGGACGAACCUCUGGUGUACCGGUUGUGACGCCAGUCGCAUCGCCGGGUAGCUAUGUUCGGAAGGGAUAACCGCUGAAAGCAUCUAAGCGGGAAGCCUACCUCAAGAUAAGAUUUCCCUAGGACUUUAUGUCCUCUAAAGAGCCGUUCGAGACUAGGACGUUGAUAGGUUGGAUGUGGAAGCAUAGUGAUAUGUGAAGCUGACCAAUACUAAUUGCUCGUGAGGCUUGACUAUACAACACCC
rnacentral:rRNA from 1 species